AUUUUGAUCAUUCCUGGGUCGAUUUUCGCGGGAAUUUUGGGAAUUUCUGGGAAUUUUGGGGGAAUUUUUGGGAUUUUGGGGUUUUUGGGGUCCCUCUUUUUAAUUUUGGGGUCCCCAACAACUUUUGGGGCUCCUGGGUUGGGAUUUUGGGGUGAUUUUGGGUUGAUUUGGGUGAAUUUAGGGAGCUUUUGGUUGGAUUUUCGUCAUUCCUGGGUUGAUUUUCGUGGGAAUUUCUGGGAAUUUGGGGAAUUUUGGGGGAAUUUUUGGGGAAUUUUGGGGAUUUUGGGGUCCCCAACAACUUUUGGGGGUCCUGGGUUGGGAUUUUGGGGUGAUUUGGGUGAAUUUUGGGGCGAUUUUAGGGAGAUUUUGGUUGGAUUUUGGUCAUUCCUGGGUCGAUUUUCGCGGGAAUUUUGGGGGAAUUUUUGGGAUUUUGGGGUUUUUGGGGUCCCUCAUUCUGAUUUUGGGGUUCCCCUCCCAGCACGGGCUCCUGGCCCAGCAGUUUUGGGGGGUCACCGGACGCCUCCAGGCCGCCCAAGCUCGGUACCGCCAGCGCAGCCUCGACCGGAUCCGGCGCCAGCUCCACAUCGCCGGGAGCCCCCCGCUGUCGGAGGAGGAGCUGGAGCUGAUGCUGGAGUCGGGCCAGAGCGAAAUCUUCGUCAGCAACGUUUUGGGCUCGGCUCGCGCCGCCCGGGCGGCUCUGGACGAGGUCGGGGAGCGGCACCGGGAGCUGCAGAGGCUGGAGCGGGGCCUGAGGGAACUGGGGGAGCUCUUCCAGCUCCUGGGGGGCACCGUGGAGGCCCAGGGGGAGCUCAUUGACCGCAUCGAGCGCCACGUGCAGGACUCAGGGGCGCGGCUGGAAAAGGGGCGGGGCCACCUCAGACAGGCGGGGCGGAGCCAGCGGGGGGCGCGCAAGGUAACUGGGAU
rnacentral:lncRNA from 1 species